rnacentral:tRNA from 1 species
UGCAUCGGCCGGGAAUCGAACCCGGGCCGCCCGCGUGGCAGGCGAGAAUGAUACCACUGAACCAUCAAUGG